UACGUAGGUGGCGAGCGUUGUCCGGAAUUAUUGGGCGUAAAGGGAGCGCAGGCGGGAGAUCAAGUCUAUCUUAAAAGUGCGAGGCUCAACCCCGUGAGGGGAUGGAAACUGGUCUUCUUGAGUGCAGGAGAGGAAAGCGGAAUUCCUAGUGUAGCGGUGAAAUGCGUAGAUAUUAGGAGGAACACCAGUGGCGAAGGCGGCUUUCUGGACUGUAACUGACGCUGAGGCUCGAAAGCGUGGGGAGCGAACAGG
rnacentral:rRNA from 1 species